GGGUCUGUAGCUCAGGUGGUUAGAGCGCACCCCUGAUAAGGGUGAGGUUCGGUAGUUCGAGUCUACCCAGACCCACCA
rnacentral:tRNA from 1 species